rnacentral:lncRNA from 1 species
GAUCAUGCAUAUAUAAUAUAUACGGAUAGAGAACUAGACCAAUAGAUUCACACUGGAUAUCUUUAUCAUAGAGAGAUAUCUUUAUCAUAGAGAAAAGGGUAUUAAUUUGUAUGGUCAUGUUCUCUUGGGUGGAAUAAAGAUAAAAUAGAAAUUAUCUUUUGGAGAGAUGGCUGAGUGGUUGAUAGCUCCGGUCUUGAAAACCGGUAUAGUUCGAAACAAAGAACUAUCGAGGGUUCGAAUCCCCCUCUCUCCUUUUCUUGGCGAAUGGAUUUUUUUUAUUGAUUUUGGUUGGCUCCGUUUUUUCGGGCUCGGCUAUAUCACCACUUAGCCGAGCCCGAAAAAAGAUUAGAUAUAAAUGAAUUGAAAAACAAAACCUUAUCACACUGGAUAUCUUUAUCAUAGAGAGAUAUCUUUAUCAUAGAGAAAAGGGUAUUAAUUUGUAUGGUCAUGUUCUCUUGAGUGGAAUAAAGAUAAAAUAGAAAUUAUCUUUUGGAGAGAUGGCUGAGAGGUUGAUAGCUCCGGUCUUGAAAACCGGUAUAGUUCGAAACAAAGAACUAUCGAGGGUUCGAAUCCCCCUCUCUCCUUUUUCUUGGCGAAUGGAUUUUUUUUAUUGAUUUUGGUUGGCUCCGUUUUUUAGGGCUCGGCUAUAUCACCACUUAGCCGAGCCCGAAAAAAGAUUAGAUAUAAAUGAAUUGAAAAACAAAACCUUUUUUCAAUAUGAUCUCCUCGACUCAACCCAAUAUGUAUACUAAAAUCAA